AUAACGGUCCUAAGGUAGCGAAAUUCCUUGUCGGGUAAGUUCCGACCCGCACGAAAGGCGUAAUGAUUUGAGCGCUGUCUCGACAAUGCACCCGGUGAAAUUGAAAUACCAGUGAAGAUGCUGGUUACCUGCGCCAGGACGGAAAGACCCCAUGGAGCUUUACUCCAGCUUGAUACUGGGAUUCGGUAUUGCAUGUACAGGAUAGGUGGGAGGCUGCGAAGUGAUGACGCCAGUUGUCACGGAGCCGAUGUUGGGAUACCACCCCUGCAGUACUGGGUUUCUAACCUGCGGCCGUAACCCGGCCGGGGGACAAUGUCUGGUGGGGAGUUUGACUGGGGCGGUCGCCUCCGAAAGGGUAUCGGAGGCGCUCAAAGGUUCCCUCAGAAUGGUUGGAAACCAUUCGAAGAGUGCAAAGGCAGAAGGGAGCUUGACUGCGACACCGACGGGUGGAGCAGGUACGAAAGUAGGACUUAGUGAUCCGGUGGUAUAAAGUGGGAUUGCCAUCGCUCAACGGAUAAAAGCUACCCUGGGGAUAACAGGCUUAUCACUCCCAAGAGUUCACAUCGACGGAGUGGUUUGGCACCUCGAUGUCGGCUCAUCGCAUCCUGGGGCUGUAGUAGGUCCCAAGGGUUGGGCUGUUCGCCCAUUAAAGCGGUACGCGAGCUGGGUUCAGAACGUCGUGAGACAGUUCGGUCCCUAUCUGUCGUGGGCGUAGGAUAUUUGAAGAGCGCUGUCCCUAGUACGAGAGGACCGGGAUGGACGCACCGCUGGCGCAUCGGUUGUCAUGCCAAUGGCACGGCCGAGCAACUAUGUGCGGUUUGGAUAAACGCUGAAAGCAUCUAAGCGUGAAGCCAUCUCUAAGAUAAGAUAUCCCAUAGCAUAAGCUAGUAAGACCCCUCAAAGACUAUGAGGUUGAUAGGCUGCGUGUGUAAGUACGGCGACGUAUUUAGCUUGGCAGUACUAAUAGGUCGAGGGCUUGACCUU
rnacentral:rRNA from 1 species